UACGUAGGGUGCAGGCGUUAAUCGGAAUACUGGGCGUAAAGCGUGCGCAGGCGGUUUGCCAAGACAGGUGUGAAAUCCCCGGGCUUAACCUGGGAACUGCGCUUGUUACUGGCAGGCUUGAGUGUGGCAGAGGGGGUGGAAUUCCACGUGUAGCAGUGAAAUGCGUAGAGAUGUGGAGGAACACCGAUGGCGAAGGCAGCCCCUGGGCUAACACUGACGCUCAUGCACGAAGCGUGGGAGC
rnacentral:rRNA from 1 species